CAAUAGCGUAUAUUAAAGUUGUUGCAGUUAAAAAGCUCGUAGUUGAAUUUCUGGCGGGCGCGCCGGUCUUCCAAGUGUUGUACUGGGCGCAGUCCGCCAUCCUUGUGGAGAGGGCUCGCAUUGAGUUGCGUGUCGGAUCUGCAUCAUUUACUGUGAAAAAAUUAGAGUGUUUAAAGCAGGCUGUCGCUUGAAUACAUUAGCAUGGAAUAAUAAGAUAGGACUUCGGUCUAUUUUGUUGGUUGCGAACCGAGGUAAUGAUUAAUAGGGAUAGUUGGGGGUAUUCAUAUUUAAUUGUCAGAGGUGAAAUUCUUGGAUUUAUGAAAGAUGAACAACUGCGAAAGCAUUUACCAAGGAUGUUUUCAUUA
rnacentral:rRNA from 1 species